rnacentral:rRNA from 1 species
GUGAAAAGCACUUCGAACAGAAGAGUGAAAUAGUCCCUGAACCCAUACGCCUACAAGCUGUCGGAGCCGCUUCGUGCGGUGACGGCGUGCCUUUUGCAUAAUGAGCCUACGAGUUACUCAUCACCAGCGAGGUUAAGUACUUCAGGUACGUAAGCCGAAGCGAAAGCGAGUCUGAAUAGGGCGUCAAGUUGGUGGUGGUAGACGCGAAACCUUAGUGAUCUACCCAUGGGCAGGGUGAAGGUUUGGUAACACAAACUGGAGGCCCGAACCGGUAAACGUUGAAAAGUUUUCGGAUGACCUGUGGGUAGGGGUGAAAGGCCAAUCAAACUGGGAAAUAGCUCGUACUCUCCGAAAUGCAUUUAGGUGCAGCCUCUGUUGUUUUGUUCUAGAGGUAGAGCUACUGAUUGGAUGCGAGGGCUUCACCGCCUAUCAAAUCCGGCCAAACUCCGAAUGCUAGAACAUGAAGACAGGGAGUGAGCCAGCGGGUGCUAAGGUCCGUUGACGAAAGAGGGAGAACUCAGACCAUCAGCUAAGGUCCCCAAUUAUAUGCUAAGUUGGAAUAAAAACGGGGUGGGACUGCUUAGACAGCUAGGAUGUUGGCUUGGAAGCAGCCAUUCAUUUAAAGAGUGCGUAACAGCUCACUAGUCGAGCGGUCCUGCAUGGAUAAUACGCGGGCAUAAGCAUAUAACCGAAGCUAUGGGAUUGUAGAUGAUACAAUCGGUAGGAGAGCAUUCCAUUCAGCGUAGAAGCAGUAUCGUGAGGUAUUGUGGAGCGGAUGGAAAAGCAAAUGUAGGCAUAAGUAACGAUAAUGCGGGUGAGAACCCCGCACGCCGAAAGAUCAAGGAUUCCCCGGCAAUGUCAAUCAUUCGGGGGUAAGUCGGAUCCUAAGGGUAAGCCGAGUGGCGAUCCCGAUGGCAAACAGGUUAAUAUUCCUGUACUGAUCAUAACUGCGAUGCAGCGACGCAGAGGUGACACUGCUGCGUACUGACGGAAUAGUACGUUGAAACCCGUAUUCUUUGAUACCGGUAGUGAAGCACGCCGGUAGAGAUGAAAGGUGAUAGUACCGCAAUGCUUCGGUUGCGCGGAUAACGCAGGUAAGCUGACUGCCAAGAAAACCUGCUAAGCUUCAGGUAAUGAUCAUCCGUACUGUAAACGGACACACGUGAUCAGGUAGAAAAUACUAAGGCGCUCGAGAGAUUCAUGGUUAAGGAACUAGGCAAAAUGGUCCUGUAACUUCGGGAUAAAGGACGCUCUUGUGAAAGAGCCGCAGAUAAUAGGCCCAGGCGACUGUUUACCAAAAACACAUGGCUAUGCUAAUUCGCAAGAAGAUGUAUAUGGCCUGACACCUGCCCGGUGCCGGAAGGUUAAGAGGAGAGCUCAGAGGCAACUCGAAGGUUUGAAUUGAAGCCCCGGUAAACGGCGGCCGUAACUAUAACGGUCCUAAGGUAGCGAAAUUCCUUGUCGGGUAAGUUCCGACCUGCACGAAUGGUGUAACGAUCUGGGUACUGUCUCAACCAUGAGCUCGGUGAAAUUGUAGUUCCGGUGAAGAUGCCGGAUACCCGCAACGGGACGGAAAGACCCCGUGAACCUUUACUGCAGCUUUGCAUUGAUUUUGGGUAACAGAUGUGUAGGAUAGGUCGGAGGCUUUGAUGCUGCGUCGUCAGGCGUAGAGUAGCCGUCGUUGAAAUACGACCCUUUUGUUAUCUGAGGUCUAAUCCCGUUAGGGAGACAUUGCAUGGUGGGUAGUUUGACUGGGGUGGUCGCCUCCAAAAGUGUAACGGAGGCUUCUCAAGGUACCCUCAAGGCGUUUGGUAAUCGUCUGCAGAGUGCAAUGGCAUAAGGGUGCUUGACUGUGAGACCGACACGUCGAUCAGGUUGGAAACAAGAGCAUAGUGAUCCGGUGGUUCCGCAUGGAAGGGCCAUCG